GACUUUGCUCAUUUCCUUUUUGUCACCUCACAAAGCCAUGCUUUGUUUGCUUUAUCUAAGACCUCUGUGCUACCUAGCUAAGUUUGGCUUCCUGUCCAAUGCUGUUCACUCUGUCUCCAUGGAUCCAGCUCAAUUGGAAGAAAAAGCAGAUGAAGGCCUGAAUUGUCUACUGAGUUUUCAGUGACUUCCUCAAACUUCUCACUUACCUUUCAGUGCUGGCAUCGUCCAGGUCAUAGGAGAAAGUAGUAGGGGUGACUCAAAUAUUUAGUAUUUGCACAGUAAAAAUGUCCAGCUAUGCCAGGUGGAGUGGCUCACACCUAUAAUCCCAGUGCUUUGGGAGGCUGAGCAGGAGGAUUGCAUGAGGCCAAGAGUAUGAGACCAGCCUGGGCAACAUAGUGAGACUCUGUGUCUACAAAAAGUUUUUUUUUUUUAAAUUAGCUGGGCAUGGUGGCAUGUGUCUGUAGUUCUAGCUACUUGGGAGGCUGAGGUGGGAGGAUCAUUUGAGCCCAGGAGUUUGUGGCUGCAGUGAACUAUGGUUGCACCAUUGCACCCCAGCCUGGGCGAUAGAGGGAGACCCUGCUUGUAAAAAGUAAGCCAAGCUCUUUACUGGCUGAAAUUGCAUGGAGUAAGGGAGGGAGUCGAAAUUCUGGGGCAGAGAACUACCUUUUGUUGUUCAUAUGUGUUUGUCUUUAAUAAUGUUCCCCAGUAUCUUAUGUUAAUGAGGAACAUUAAUGCUUUGAUAUCGUUUCAUGGUGCCACUUCAGGGAAUCACUCUUGCUUAAUCUAAGGAGGAUGGAGCUGUACCGAGCUAAAAGUCUGAAUUUGGAGAUGAUAGUGGUGACCUUAUAGGCAAUAUCAGGUACAGAUGGAGCUUUAAUAGUGAAAAAGUAGACUGCUCAGAGUAAGUAUGGAGGAUCAUACUUCUGCAUACACUGAAUGUAGUUGUUUCUUUUCCACACAAGGACUCUCUACAAGAGAGGUUUCUUUAGAAAGAAUUGGACCUGAUGGAGGGUCAUUCUAUCAGAAUGAAUUUUUUAGGUUUCUUCCUUACAGUUAACAUCUCUGAAAGGUACGGAUACAAGUUAUCUACAGGGUAACACCUGUAGAUAUGAUGCAACAGGCUUAUGCCAUUGGAGAGUGAAUAGUCAACCUUCUGAAAACAGUGUACACCACCGGAAGGACAAGAAAAAAACUACAAUAUAGAACAUCUUUCUGACCUUGAGGUCAGGAAGUCCUCCUUGACAAGACACAAAAAAGAAAAAUCACAAAGGAAAAGGAUGACAACUUGACUCCAUCAAAAUUAAAAACAGGCCUCCCUAUUCCCUGAGACACAACAAUAUUAAAUUAGGCCAAUUAAUAAUGCCACAAUGGCCUCUAAGAGUUUGAGUGAAAUGAAGAGUUGUCUGUCUGUCUAUCUGUCUAUCUAUCUAUCUAUCUAUCUAUCUAUCUAUCUAUAAUCCAUCUAUUUAUUUUUGAGACAGAUUCUUGCUCUGUCGCCCAGGCUGGAGUGCAGUGGCACUAUCUAGGCUCACUGCAACCUCCACCUCCUGGGUUCAAGCAAUUUUCCUGCCUCAGCCUCCCUAGUAGCUGAGAUUACAGGUGCCCAACACUAUGCCCAGCUUUUUUUUUUUUUUUUUUGUAUUUUUAGUAGAGACGGGGUUUCACCAUGUUGGUCCAGCUGAUCUCGAUCUCCUGACCUCAAGUGAUCCACUGGUCCUUGGCCUCCCAAAGUUCUGAGAUUACAGGAGUGAGCCACUGUGCCCGACCAUAUCUCUCAUUUUAGAUGAAAAGCUAUAAAUGACUAACAUUAGUGAGGAAGGCAUGUGGAAAGGUGAGACAGGUUUGAAAGCUAGGCCUCUUGCACCAAUUGGUUAGCCAAGUUGUGAAUGCAAAGGAAUAGUUCUUGGAGGAAAUUAAAGUGCUACUCCAGUGAACAUAUGAAUAAUAAGAAAGUGAUACAUGCUUAUUACUGAUAUGAAGAAAAGUUUUUGUGUCUGAAUAGAAGAUCAAAUCAGCCACAAUAUUUCCUUAAACCAAAGCUUAAUCCAGAGAAAGUCUCCAACUCUCUUCAAUUCCAUGAAGGCUGAUAGAGGUGAGGAAGCUAGCAAAUAUUAAAACCUAGUAUAGGCUAAGGAAGAAGCUGUCUCCAUAACCUAGAAGUGCAAGGUGAAGCAGCAACUGCUGCUGUGGAAGCUGUAGCAAGCUGUCCAGAAGAGUUAGCUAAGAUCAUUGAUGAAGGUGGCUACACUAAACAGCAGAUUUUCAAUGUAAACAAAGCAGCCUUCUAUUGCAAGAAGAUGCCAUCUAGGACUUUCAAAGCUAGAGAGAAGUCAAUGACUGGCUUCAAAGGAUGGGCCGACUCUGUUGUUAGGAGCUAAUGCAACUGGUGACUGUAAGUUGAAGCCAAUGCUCAUUGACCAUUCUGAAAAUCCUAGGGCCUUAAGAAUUAUGCUGUUUCUAUUCUUCCUGUGCUCUAUAAAUGAAAAAACAAACUCUAGAUGAGAGCCCAUCUGUUUACAGUAUGGUUUACUGAAUAUUUUAAGCCCACCAUUGAGACCUAUUUCUCAGAGUAAGAGUCUUUUCAAAAUAUUACUGCUCACUGACAAUGCACUUGAUUACCCAAGAGGUCUGAUGGAGAUGUGCAGAAGAUUAAUGUUGCUUUCAUGGAUGCUAAUUCAGCAUCCAUUCUACAGCUCAUGGAUCAAGGAGUAAUUUUGACUUUCAGAUUUGCUAUUUAAGAAAUACAUUACAUAGUGCUCAGCUGCCCUAGUGAUUCCUUUGAUGAAUCUGGGCAAAGUCAAUUGAAAGUCUUUUCAAAAGAGUCCACCAUUCUAGAUCCCAUUAACAACAUUCACAAUUCAUGGCAGGAGGUCAAAAUAUCAACAUUAACAGAAGUUUGGAAGAAGACGGUUCCAACCCUAACAGAUGAUUUUGAGGGGUUCAAGACAUCAGUGCGAUGAAGUAACUGCAGAUGUGGUGGAGAUGUAAAGAGGACUAGAAUUAGAAGCAGAGCCUGAAGUUGGGACUAAAUUGGUGCAAUCUCAGGAUAAAACUUGAACAAACCAGGAGUGGUUUUUAUGGAUGUGUAAAGAAAGGUUUCUUGGGAUGGAAUCUACUUCUGGUGAAGAUGCUGUGAGCAUUGUUGAAACGACAACAAAGGACAUAGAAUAGUACAUAAACUUAGUUGAUAGAGCAGUGAGAUAGGGCUUGAGAGGAUUGACUCCAAUUUUGAAGGAAGUUCUACUGUGGGUAAAAUGCUAUCAAACAGCAUUGCAUACUAGAGAAAUAUUGCAUGAAAUGAACAAUCAAUUGAUGCAGCAAACUUCAUUGUUUUCUUAUUUUAAGAAAUUGCCAUGGAUGCUUCAACUUUAGGCAACAACCACUGUAGUCAGUCAGCAGCCAUCAAAGUAGAGAAGACCCUCCACCAGCACAAAGCUUACAACUUACUCAAGGCCAAGAUGAUUAUUAGCUUUUUUAGCAAUAAAUUAUUUUUAAAUUAUG